rnacentral:rRNA from 1 species
GACGAACGCUGGCGGCGUGCUUAACACAUGCAAGUCGAGCGGUAAGGCCCUUUCGGGGGUACGACGAGCGGCGAACGGGUGGGUAACACGUGGGUGACCUGCCUUUAGCUCUGGGAUAAGCCUGGGAAACUGGGUCUAAUACCGGAUAUGACCCUAUGGCGCAUGUUGUGGGGUGGAAAGCCUUGUGCGGCUAGGGAUGGGCCCGCGGCCUAUCAGCUUGUUGGUGGGGUGAUGGCCUACCAAGGCGACGACGGGUAGCCGGCCUGAGAGGGCGACCGGCCACACUGGGACUGAGACACGGCCCAGACUCCUACGGGAGGCAGCAGUGGGGAAUCUUGCGCAAUGGGCGAAAGCCUGACGCAGCGACGCCGCGUGAGGGAUGAC